CCAAGUCUUAUUGAGAAAUAGUUCACUUGCUUUUGAAUUGUACCAGCUUCUUCUCCGAGUCUCCCUACUGAACUCCAUGUCUGAUGAAACAUUUAUUUGAACAAACAAAAUACAUAUGUACAAAUAAAUACAAGUGUCAGGAGCUGACAUACGAAUGCAAACACAUGUCUUUCCCCAGGCCCACUAUGACACCGUGACAGGCUAAAGAGCCUUUUGAAUGGAAACUACAUAAAGCAUCAAGCCCCUGAAAAGAAUGACCAGACAAAAGUGCCACAAUCAAUUGAAUGUCUUUAGGAGAUACACUUUUCUUUUAAAAAGCGUGACGCUUUGAUGACUCAGUGGCAGGACAGGUGACAAAGGAAUGGCUGCCUGGAGGCUGUGCAUGGCAGGAGGAGACACCACAGUCUUCCCGCCCUGCCACCCGUCCCUGCCGCCUGACUGUGGAAGGAUGAAGGACACUUUUAGAAAUUUCCCUGCGCGGAGAUGCCAGGAAACCAAUCAUCGCCCAGCCACUUUGUGGGGCCAUUAGCAGAGCGUCAAACUCCAUCUUUGUUUAAACGAAAGCACAAAGAAAAUAAUUUUUCAUCUGAGGAAUCACCUUAAGAUCCCCAAAUGGAAAGUAAGGGGAGCAGUAAACCUCUCACUCCGGGUGGGCAGCUCUAACACAGGGCAUUAAGGUAAGAAGGUUAUUUAUGACAGAAGAAAGGAGACAGGAUUCCAAAGUGGGAGACGAAGGACAGAGGUGAUUGGAGCCUAGCUUUAUCCCCUGCCCCAUUCAAAUGCGGAGGGCAAUGACUUCCAUAAGAAACCAGGUGCCACACGUGACCCAAAGGCAAAAGCCUCACUUUAACUCCUUGAUAUGGUCUGGCUGUGUUCCCACCCAAAAUCUCAUCUGGAAUUGUAGUCCCCAUAAUCCCUGUGUGUGUCAAGGGCAGAACCAGGUGGAGGUAAUCGGAUCAUGGGGGCGUUUCCCCCAUGCUGUUCUCGUGAUAGUGAGUGAGUCUCACGAGAUCUGAUGGUUUAAUAAGCGUCUGGCAUUUCCCCUGCUGGCACUCAUUCUUUCUCCUGCUGUCCUGCGAAGAGGUGCCUUCUGCCAUGAUUGUUAGUUCCUGAGGCCUCCCCAGCCAUGCGAACUGUGAGUCAAUUAAAC
rnacentral:lncRNA from 1 species